ACACCGUUGGUGAAGUGGUUAUCAUGCUUGCCUUCCAUGAUCUCGCAUAGGUAACCUUUAGCAAGCGGCUCGGGUUCGAUUCCCGAACGGUGUA